rnacentral:rRNA from 1 species
AGUCUGAUGGAGCAACGCCGCGUGAGUGAAGAAGGGUUUCGGCUCGUAAAGCUCUGUUGGUAGUGAAGAAAGAUAGAGGCAGUAACUGGCCUUUAUUUGACGGUAAUUACUUAGAAAGUCACGGCUAACUACGUGCCAGCAGCCGCGGUAAUACGUAGGUGGCAAGCGUUGUCCGGAUUUAUUGGGCGUAAAGCGAGUGCAGGCGGUUCAAUAAGUCUGAUGUGAAAGCCUUCGGCUCAACCGGAGAAUUGCAUCAGAAACUGUUGAACUUGAGUGCAGAAGAGGAGAGUGGAACUCCAUGUGUAGCGGUGGAAUGCGUAGAUAUAUGGAAGAACACCAGUGGCGAAGGCGGCUCUCUGGUCUGCAACUGACGCUGAGGCUCGAAAGCAUGGGUAGCGAACAGGAUUAGAUACCCUGGUAGUCCAUGCCGUAAACGAUGAGUGCUAAGUGUUGGGAGGUUUCCGCCUCUCAGUGCUGCAGCUAACGCAUUAAGCACUCCGCCUGGGGAGUACGACCGCAAGGUUGAAACUCAAAGGAAUUGACGGGGGCCCGCACAAGCGGUGGAGCAUGUGGUUUAAUUCGAAGCAACGCGAAGAACCUUACCAGGUCUUGACAUCCAGUGCAAA